rnacentral:rRNA from 1 species
GACGAACGCUGGCGGCGUGCUUAACACAUGCAAGUCGAACGGAAAGGCCCUGCUUGCAGGGUACUCGAGUGGCGAACGGGUGAGUAACACGUGGGUGAUCUGCCCUGCACUUCGGGAUAAGCCUGGGAAACUGGGUCUAAUACCUGAUAGGAGCCAUUUUUAGUGUGAUGGUUGGAAAGUUUUUUCGGUGUAGGAUGAGCUCGCGGGCUAUCAGCUUGUUGGUGGGGUAAUGGGCUACCAAGGCGGCGACGGGUAGCCGGCCUGAGAGGGUGGACGGCCACAUUGGGACUGAGAUGAGGCCCAGACUGCUACGGGAGGCAGAAGUGGGGAAGAUUGAAUAAGGGGCGCAAGCCUGAUGAAGCGAGGCCGCGUGGGGGAUGACGGCCUUCGGGUUGUAAAAUACAUGCGCUAGGGACGAAGCUUUUUGUGACGGUACCUAGAUAAGAAGCACCGGCUAACUACGUG